rnacentral:ncRNA from 1 species
AUUCUGGUUGAUCCUGCCAGUAGUUAUAUGCUUGUCUCAAAGAUUAAGCCAUGCAUGUCUAAGUACACACGAAUUAAAAGUGAAACCGCAAAAGGCUCAUUAUAUCAGUUAUGGUUCCUUAGAUCGUUAACAGUUACUUGGAUAACUGUGGUAAUUCUAGAGCUAAUACAUGCAAUUAAAACACGGACCUUAUGGGACGUGUGCUUUUAUUAGGCUAAAACCAAGCGAUCGUAAGAUCGUUACAUUG